rnacentral:lncRNA from 1 species
UCACAGGUUGAACUUGAUGUUCCAUCAUAACAUCUGUUGUCUAAAGUACAUCUAAAGCUUCUGGGAGAAGCCUUGUGCAACACUGAUGGUCACAUGCUGUUUCAAGUGAGGAAAAGGAGAAAUCAGUGGUGUGUAUGAAGACAGCUGAAGUCACUGUUCAGCUGCUUACCUUCUGGAAAUGCAUUGGAGGACAAGUAAAAAUGGCAAACCUCAAGGCUUGUUCUUUAGUGAUAAUGUAAUUUACAUAGUUAGCUAUAGAUGCUAAUAUAUGAAAGGCAAUAGUGAGAAAUGAGGAUUAAACAUCAUCGAAUUGGAGGUGGAAGUAAUGAUGCCUAGCCCAUGCAACCAAAAAUAGCUUUUACUUACAUUAAUUUGACACUGCUGCAUACAAGUUCUUUUUGUAAUAUUUUAACUGUAGUUAUGUUAGGGUUUGCGACAGUUGUUCCUUUCAUUUGAUCUUAAGUGGUGCCAAGAAACUGGCAAGCAAGUCCAAUUGAAGCUACCAGACCUUGCAAAGGGGAAAAAGCAAGAAUGUUAAGUACAGCUGUAGAGAUCAUAACAUCAUAAACUUUUAGUCAUGGUUAAAGGAAGCAUUGACAGGUCUCCUUCCUCCUUAUGCAUGGUGUAACUAUGUUAGUCUUGGAAAUGGGCUAUGGAACUUGUGUAGAUGUUAUACGAUUCAACACCUAAAGAGUACUUUUGAACUUGUGGAGUGGAAGCUCGGAGCCAGGAAUAAGUAAUUAUCAUGUUGCCCUCUGAAUGAGUAUACAGACACCACACUUUCUUGUUUCAUCACUAUGAAGCCUGUUGAAUCUGAGAUCAGUGUGUGCGUUUAGGUGGAUAUCGUGUUGCAAAGUGUUUUGCAGGCAUUUCAAUUAUCCACAGUUCAGGAACUGGAAUCAGAACAUCAGGUAUUUCUUUUAUUCAAUCGUCUUUCAUGCGAUUCCGUUCAUUUGAUAUUCACAUCAGAACAACACAAGCGUGCAUUUUUGUAAUUAUAGUAGUGUGUUAGGAAGGGUGGUUUGUUUGUUUUCCUAUUAUUAUGCAGUCAAAGUAGACUUGGCAAUCCAAGCCUGAGAGAAUGAUCCCAGAGGGUCAUCAGGAAUUGGUAAACAACUGGCAUUUUGAUGGAAGCUGGAUUCAAGCAAUGUAAGCUGACAUGAAUGAAUUAAUCACACUUCAUGCUUAAGAUUAGUAUGAGCAAUGUACCUGGUUUGCAACUUCAGCAGCAAAACAUCUAUCAUGGACAGAUUAAGCAUAUCCCUGGGGUUAUGUAUGGUGAUCAGUGAUAAUAAAGUUUACCAAGGAUUGUAUUGGUCAUUCAACCUAAAACAAAAAUUGAACAUCACUUCAUUUCUUCGUGGUUCUUGGCUUCUUGUCAUUUAUAUUGUUAUUCUCCUCAUCACUUCCUUCUAAGUCAGCUUUGCGUUGUAUGAAAGCAUCACCAGUGCAUUUUAACAGAGAGAGAGGGACAUUCAAUUUCCAUCCCAGACAACAUAACUUGACUUUUUAAUAUAGGAUGUCACACAUGAUGCAUUAGACCUGUAAUGUAUGACCUGACUGCACACAAAUUUGACCCAAAGAAAGAUAAAGUAGCAUCAGCAGAGAAAGUGAGGGCUAACCCAUUAGUCUUUUCCCUGAAGAUCUUAAAACCAUCUCCCCUGUGGUUGGGACUUCAUGAUAUUAAAUGCCAGCAGUACUCCAGCAUUGGCUUUGCUAACAGCGUAGAAAUUGCAACUCCCAAUCAAUGGUGAUAGCAAGUGAGCAGUUUACCUAGUUUGAAUACUGACACCUGGAAAAUUCUGUAGUAGAAGGUGGGAUAUUUGAAUGGCCCAAAGUAUGCAUGCUUUGAAGCUUUUUCAGCUAGUGGGCAAGAAAGCGGCGCUGGAAUAGUGAUGUAGAAUCAUUACCUAUGGAGUAAGAAAAUUCAUUGUUAGCAGUUCUUGUGAUGCUCUUGGCUUGAUACAUAUGGCAAAGGUAACUAAAUUUAUAAUCAAAUGAACUACCUUGAGCAUGGUAAGCAAAUAUUUGAAGAUUGGUCGUGCAACUUGUGCCCUCCAAGUAAGCGAGCAACUAGCUAUGCAGGAGAGUGACUUAUAAGAAUUCCACAAGAGCAGUUUUCAGCCCUCCCCUAUCUACAAAGUGAGGUCAAUGGGGACUUGUUCAUUGUUUCGAUUGGUAUUGGACUGGCAAAUAAUAGGUUACACUAGUACUCUUUUAAAUGGGGUUAAACCGAUUUUGAUGUCGGGCAUGGCUUUGUCUUGGUUAGGACAUGUUCAAGUUUCUGUAAUAGCAGCCACCAUGAUCUUUGCAGUCACCUCAGAUUCAUCCUUUCAUGAUAAAAGGACUUAAAUGAGAGAACAGAGAUCCAGAAAAUCACUUAAAAGACCAUUUCCACCCAGCUAGAAUUUCUCUUCAUUCACUUAGAAAGUCGUCAUUGCACCAGGCAAGAUCGCGAGAGUGCAGUGUGUUUAUAGCUCCCUCGUCAGAGUCAAGUGUAAGCAGAUGGACUAAGGAGCAGUUGGCUAUCCUUCAAUUAUCCUUAAAUUAGGUUGUUGAGCCCUACAAAAAAUUAAUGAAGAACUGAUCACUCAUGAAGCAACAUUGGUAAAUGCAUCCAUCUCGGGAACCCCACUCUGCCAAAAGUCAGUUUCCUUACCAAUGAGAAUACAGCAACAGGUAUAAAUUUCAAACCAUCCCCCGAUUCUUUGCCUGCCAGGCAAAUGGUAUGGUAGUAGUUGGCUAUUUUCUUCACUCCUUAGAAAUGAUCACCACCAAGGUUAUCAACAUGUACAGUGAGUCACAAGUUAGAGCUAGAGGAUAUUGGUUUCCAAAUGUGUGUAGUUUUGUCAACAGAAUUAGCUUCCAAUUCAAGAAAUUUGGCAAAAGUUGUCUUAUCCCUAUUUGACCAAAGGAAAUCAUAAUGGCCUUUCACCUGUGGGCGGCUCUUCCCCAGAAUAUUUUGAUAGGAUGUGCUAGCUGGCAGCAGCUACUUUCCUCAGUCCAUGGCUCUAACUGCGCUAUUAAAUGGCUACUUAAGAAAGCAACCUGCAAUUUAAAGAGAGGUGAAGCAGCAAGUAACCUGUGGAAAAUAAGGGAUGAAAUUUAUUGGGAAGUCAGAUUGGUUGGAACAAGACUAAUCUUCAAAAGUAAUCUACCAGAGCAAAUAGAUUCAAAGAAAUAAGAACUUUCUCAUCAAAUUGAUGGCCUGAGCGACUUAGGAGGUAAUAUCAUUUAUGAAUGCAUUUUCCUGUUCUUGCUUGCUUGUUUCUGUUUUGUCUUUGUUUCUGAGAAACAGUGGUGAUGACAGGCUUGACUAUUAAAUUGAAAGUUAGCAAACCUAUUAGGGGACACCUCAGCAUCACUAAAACUGCCAAAGAGUAAAUUUGUUUGAUCCAUUGGUGCCAGUGAUGACAACACAACUGUGGCACAGAAAUCCAAAAGUACUAAGCCCUUCCCAAAAGUUGCCUGAAGUUUUUCCUGUUUCUUUGGGUACCUGGCACUGCGAGUCCAUGCAGUUCGAUGGGAGUUAGAGAGGAUUAAUCAUUCUGUACCUGUAAAGAUGAACAAUCAAAGAAUAGCCUGUUGGCAAAUUGGGUGACCUGUUCAGUCUAGCAAGUAGUUUUUGCAUCAAUUUUUAAGUUUCUUUUCCUUGUGUGAUAAGCAAAUGCAUGUAUGCCCUGAGAUAGUUUUUUUUCAGGAAGGCAAAUGCUUCUAAUUCUGAGCUAGGUCGUAGCACCAAAGUGACAUUCAUUAAAGUUCUUGGAAGAGUGAUAGUAAUCAAGAGGAGUUACCUCUGCACAGCAGGAAGAACCAUUCAUGCAAAAUUACGAAAUCCCUAUUUAGCGUUGCCCUAUGACAUGCCAUCCAAAGUUUUCAGACAGUGGAAGUUGUAGGAUGAAACAAGCUCAUUCUUUGGAUUAUCUCAAUACUAAGGAAAAAGCAUAUGUGGGUAUUAUUUACAUUCUCAAUUUUUGUCAAGGAUGCGUUCAAGAUAGUCAAUUUUUUUUAAAGCUAUUGUGUUGCUUGCUUUUUUUUUUUCUUGUUUGUUCUGCAUUCGGUUUCAGCAGUUUUAUGGAGGUAGCUAAGCUAUCUUCCUUGAGCAGUGGUUUAUUUUUAUGCCCUUGUGGAAGACUUAAUUGCACUUGGCAACUUCUCAAGGCAUCAUUCCAGCUUUUUAUGAAGUGUGGUAAAGUUCCAAGGUUUACUAUCACCUUCAGAUGUAAAUUGGCAGGCAAACCCAACCAAUUUGGACAUUUCACCACUUGUGAGAUAUUCAGAAUAAGCUUACAGCAUAUCAUUAGGACUGGUCUGUAUGGGUCUGGCUUCAGAUGAACUUAGCUGAGUGAAUCCUGCGAAAAAGAUAAGAGGUACCAUGACUGCUUGGUUGAGAACUUGAUCACUGAUGGUAGUUUAAGGCAACCCGAUUCAAUCUUCCACUGAGUUACACAGAAUAAACAGAAACACUUUGUACCUUUCAAUUGACAUGAGCAGCCCAAAUUGUGUGGUAAGGAAAUAUUUCAAACAAGUAUGCAUGGACUUAGUUAUAUUUGGAUCUUUGUCAAGUGUCUUUUCAGAAUACACUCUGUAUAGUGGCAGUUUCUUGGAAUAGCAUUUCUCUCCAAAUUGAGCAAGACUUCAUAGCAUCCAGCAGCUUUCCCUGCCCCUUUAGAAACCUUUAAAAAAUGUGCCGAGUGUUAAAGAACACCCCUUACCAAGAUGCAUUCCAAAAGCACUAGUGUCAAAUAAGAGUUUGGUGCAGUUUCAAAGGUGCAAGCGUGGAGGUAUUAAACGUCCUUCAACUUAAGAUGCCAAGUUUUCAGCCUCACCACAUGGCUUACAACUUGCAUUAUUGGUGGACUCGUUACUAAAUCGAUAGAACAAGGACAACUUUCAGAGAAAUCCAUGAGUCAGAAAGGCAUGUCUUUUCAGGAUCCAAUGUAAACACAUGCUGUGAUUCUUCCCAAGUGAGUUUUGUUUUAAUGGCUAGCUUGUCAGGUUUUUUGUAGUUUUUGUACAUGAUUUGAACUUUAAGUAAGGUUGUUAGGAAGAUGUGUUUAGUGCUAUCACCAGCAGAUUUUCAGGACUGUUUGUGUUCCCAAUGCGAGUCCAGAGUGGAAAUGGCAGGCAAUCACUGAGUGACCUUGCAGAAUUUGACAAUCACCAUAAAGGCAAUUUCAGUGGUUCACCAAGAUGACCUUAAAAAAAGAAGCAAAUAGAUUGUUAGAAGUUGCAACUUCGUCCCAAAUGCUAGGUCAAGUUAACCAAUUGGAAAACCUUUGUUCUUUUGGUCCCAAAAACAGCGAGACUACUUGUGUAAUGUUGCUGAUAACGAUGGUGCAGAUAAUCUGGUAAGGGAAAUCUUCCUGUUCAACCAUAUGUGAGCAUGUAUUUUCUGUGAAUUUUUUCUUCUCUGAAGAGUCUUUUUUUUCAGUGGUGAAUCGAUGGUGAACCCAGUUAUUUCACCAGCAGCUAUUUCUUGGACUAGCAUUCUACUACACUCCGAGUGAUAUUAUGUAGCAGCCAUAGCUUUCUGCCUGUUUUAAAAAGUAUCCAAGUUCCUUUGUGCCAAAGUAGCAUCAUCGUGGUAAUAUCCAGUCCAGUUUAGUGAUAAAAGUAGCCUCCUAGAUCCUUUCAAGACUUUACCCGACCUGUGUGAGUGGGGGGGCCAAGUGCUGUGUCAUUCAAGUGUAGCUGUAUGUGCAGUGUCUUGGAGAGCUAUGCCCCUCUUGUGUAUCUGUGUGCCUGCACAUCACCUCUAGCAGUUUAAAGAUAGCAUGAAAACAGUCAUGGACAGCAUCUCUCCAAAUUGAUCAAAGACUUUCUUGUCAUUCUUGGAAAACAACCAGUAUUUUGGACCUAUGUUCUGAUCCAUUCCUAAAAUAUGACUUCCUCUGUGCAUGUUGUGUAGUCCAAUGUAUUGUGCUACCUGCCUUUGCUUGGUUAAAGUGUGUAUUGCUUCAAGAAAGAGUGUCUGUUCAACUAACACCAGUCCAUUCUCAGACAAACUGUUAAGAUGAACAUUUUUAAAAAUCUGGUGAUUUUUCACACCAUCAAAAUCUGUGAUUGUCUGAUUCACAUGGGCAGUCCCAAGUCCUCAUCACUAAGUCUCGAAGUACGCUGGUUGUGGUUUAGUCAGGGAGGUGCAAUUCAUAUUUGAAUCCUCUCUUGGUGGGUAAAGAUUCUCUCAGAGGGUUUAAGUAAAGGUUAGUUUGAGCCCUUUUUGGUUCAUGUGUUGUCCCAGUAACUAGAUAUUUUGUAUUUUUUAAUUAUGUAACUUAUGGAGAAAGAAAUACUUGGGCUUAACUGUCUCUCUCAAAAAUUGUUUCUAAGGUAUUUUGAUCAAGUGACUUUGUUGAUGAGAUUGAAAUGAAGUUUAAGCUUAGAUGUGUCAUCAAAACCAGUGCAUACUUUGUAAGACCUUACAGAUAUUGAGCUUCACCAAGUAACAGCUUUUUGGCUUUGGCAAGUAUUUGUUAUGGAAAGUUGCCUUUCUUAGUUGUUGUUGUGAAAACUCUGCUUUGUUGUUGUGAAAACUCUGCUUUGUAUGCCUGAACUAUUAGUAAUACUGGGUAAAACAAUUUUGAUUAGUUACCAUUGUACAUAUUUGACUUUAAUUUACUUUCAGUGUAGAUUUUGUGCAAUCGAUUGUUGCACAUCUUAGAUAAAGGUUUUAAUGUUGAAGUACUAUCCAUUUAGAAUUACUUGCCUUAAAAAUGCAUUUUUGGCUAUUGCCAACAAAUACUCUUAUCUGUAAAAUGAGAACUGUGUUGAGCAUUGUCUGCAUUUGGGGGGAUGCAUUUGUUCUCUUUUCAUUGUAACCAGGCAAAUGUAACAUUUUUUUCGGAUGGAAUGUCAAGUGUGAAAAAGGCAAGCUUAACUUUGUGAUGUUUUGUUUCAGUGUACAGGCAAUUUUUUCUAAUGUAACAUGUAUGUUGCUAGUGGUAGUUUGUAAAUAACUUAUGCCAAGUAAUUUUGUUUUGGUUUCCUAUGACUGAAAGUCUUCAUUAGAUCGCAAUACUUUUGUUAUGUAAUCUAGGAUUUGUUUUGUGCAAACAGUGCAUAUUUUUGUCAACCUCUAUAGUUAUUAAGGUUGCUUAUGCAGUAGAUGAAGCUCGUCUUCACUCAUUCGGUCUGCAAGCAGAAGUGUCCAGGGAUAUUUUCACCGGAUUGCAGUCAAGGCUUAAUCAAAAUUUUCUGCUUUGAAUUGCAAGUUGUCAACAUGAAGCAAUCAUUUGGUUGAUACAGGUAUUGAUUUGAACUGUUUCCUUUUGAAUAGUUUGCCUUUGAGAUGUUUUGCAUACUCUGAUCAAUUCACAGUGAUUUCUGUCUGGAUCAACACUGUUAACCAGCUCAAUUUUGCCUGAAAAUAUUUGGCCUUAACUUGCUGUUUGGUAUAGGUCAGUUCAGUAUUUUAUUUGGCUCAAAAUUGUUAUGCAGAAAUCUGUGCAUAUAUCCUCUCCACACAGCAUUGUGAUCUUAUUAGAAAUAGUUGGCCUUCAAAUGCAUUCUCUUCAUUGAGUUGAUACAGGUAUUGAUAUGACCAUUUUGCAUCUGGUUUUAUUUUCUUUGAGAUGCAUUGCAUACUCUGAUCACUUCACAGUGAUUACUGUUUGAAUGUACAAGAACUCAACUAAAUUUUGAAGUUUCAUGGCCUUGCCUUGAUGGAUUGUGUGGGUCAGUGAUUUGAGCGCAAAGUCGUCAUCCAGAAUCAAUCCAUUUAACCUCCAAGCAGUUUUGUAAUUUCACUGGAUGUAGUCAUCCUUCAAGUAGAGCCUCUCCAUUUGGUUUAGACAGGUAUAUGAUUUACCUUUUGCUACCUGAAGUGUUUUUUCCUUGAAAAGUAUUGCAUAUUUUGAUCUUUUUACAGUGUUUUCUGUUGAAUUUGCUACUCUUGACAGCUCAAUGUGGUCUAAGAUUUUAGGGCCUUAUCUUUUUGGCUUGUGAAUUGCUGAUUUUAAAUUGUUUGGUAGAAACCAGUGCAUCUAUCCUCUAUACAGCAUCUUAAUCUCGUGGGAUGCAUUUGGCCUUUAAUUGCGAUCUUGUCGAUGUGUAGAAUCAGGUAUUCACUCAUCCUUUUGCCUUCUGAAUUGUUUUCUUUGAAAUGUCUGGCAUACUCUGAUCAAUUCACAACAUUUUCUGCCUGAAUGUGGAACUGUGAGCACCCCAACUUGGUCUCUAAACUAAUGGCCAUGACAUUUAAAGUUCAUGUAGGUCAGUUUUACAGUUUGUCCAGUUUAAAACUGUUGUAUAGAAGUCCGUGUAUUCUAUUUUACACAGCUUGAUGUAACUUAAAUGAUCCUAGUUGAAAUUUAUGAGCAUUUUGGACAAAGAUUUUUCCAUUCCAUCUGUAAGCUUUCAGAAGCUGAUUACCAGUAAGUCUUGUGAUUGUCAGAAAAAAAACUCUUAGCAAACUGGAUCCUAGAAGCAGAGGUACUGGUUCUUGUCUCUUUUUCUAUUUCAAUUUCAAUAUUUCUCUGGACACCAUGUAUAUUGCAUUAGUAUCUUCAGUAGUUUGUCUUGGCAAGUUCAAGUCUGAUCAUGCAGCUCAACUGAAGUCAUGAAGAAGGUACCAGUUCUUGUUUCUUUUUCAAUUUCAAUAUUUCUCUGGACACCAUGUAUAUUCCAUUAGUAUCUUCAGUAGUUUGGCUUGGCAAGCUCAAUUUUGAUCACGCAGCUCAACUCUGAUCAUGCAGCUCAACUCUGAUCACGCAGCUCAACUCCGAUCAUGAAAAAGGUUCCUCCUUUGAGGUAUUCUGGUGUGAAUGAUAAUUUUUAUCCAAAUUGCAUUUAAUGCAGUGGAUACUUAUGUCAAGUCAGCAACAUAUUUGUUUGUGCAGUUCAACUCAAAUGGUGAAACAGGUUCCUUUGAGAUAAUUCCGGAAUGAAUUUUCACUUCAAAUUAUUGGCAAUGUGGUGGAUGCUUUGCUUAAUUGACAGCAUUUUUGCUCGUUUGUGUAUUGAAACAUUGGCUAAAUCUUGGUGCAGGCCUUCAAGGUAUCAGGUACCAAAGUCAAGUUUGUUACUGUGUUUUGUCUGAUAUUGAAAUUAUUGUAGAAGAAUGGUGUAUUCCAAUUAGUUCUACAGUGACAGUUAAACUGCAAUAAUUGGCUAAAUCUUGGCAAACCUUCAAGAAAGCAGGUACCAAAGUUAAGUUUGUUUCUGUGUUUUGUCUGAUUUAAACAUUUUUGUGGAAGAACAGUGUAUUCCAAUUAGAUCUACAGUCACUCUUGUACUGGGAAUGAACUUCCAUGUGUCCAGCAAAGAGGAAAAGGAAUGAAUCAAACCAAGGAAUCAAAGUAUUGUACAGUUAAAUUUGAAACUACUUCUUGCUGCUAUGGUUUUUCCUCCGGAAGUAUUUUGUUAAGUCCAAUUUGUGUGCGAGCCAUGCAUGUGUUGUUCUUUUCAACAGUGUUAAAUUAUCAGGUGGACAAAGUCCUAAAGUACAAUUAUUCCGUCUGCAAAAAGUGGUGUAUUCUUUAGAGAAACUUUUUGAUUGUGAUAGCUUCCGGUCCUUGCCGAGAACUGACUGAAAAAGUACACAGAUCCGAAACUGUUCUCCAUGUGAAGGUCUGAGUUGACUGCUUAGUUGUCCAGUGCAUUGUUCAAGUAAGAUCCUGUUUUGAUUUCCUCUUGGAAUUCUUUUUUUGUGCAAACGUUGCGUAUUAUGUCAGUUUCCACAGCCUUGCUCCAACCUUUCUCUGGUCUGCAUAGUAGGACAAGCUAAAAUGGGCUGGCAGCAUUUGCCUUGUUUCAUUUCUAACAACAACUUUCCGUAGAGACUAAUGGAAUCUUGUGAUUCCUGUGAAUUCCAAGGUCUGGAACUCUGGAAUACAGGUAUCGGCCCUUAAAUUUUUUUGAUGUGAAUUUUCAGCGCUGUAAUUCAAGUAGAUGUGGUGUGUAUACUUUGUUCAAUUUUUACAGCACUUUCAUACACAAGAUGGAAUUUCACUAUAGAAACUUGGACACCUUUGAGCAAUUGCCUGGUGUGCACAUUGUGUUGUAAGUCUGGAAAGUCAACAAGCUCUGUUUUGCUGUUAAAUGCAAAUUUUCAAGACAUUUACAAGUCACUCUUGUGGCAUUCAUUGAAAAUUUUUUAUAUGUGCAAAUGUUGGAUAUUCUGUUAGAUUUCACAGCUUUCUGGUAAUUUUCACAUCACUCCAAAACAAGGUGGAUUGAAAGUUGCAAAUUUCCCCCUGGCAGUCAGCUGCUUUCUAGUCUUUCUAUUUACAUCACUUCGGAUAAACUCUGGUAAAAUGGAUCCCCAAAAUACAGGUAUUGGAUCUUUAUUUUUCCAUCAUAAUGGCUUGAUUUCAACUUUCGUGUCAACACCGUGUGUUCCAUCAGCGUCUUGAGAAGUUUCUGUUUGGCAAGCUCCACUUCAGCUUGGGAUCUACAAAGUAAGGCUUGAUUGGAAUCUCUUUUGCCAUCACAUUCAAUUAGAAAUGGUUUUGUGGGAAACUGUGUAUAUUUUGUAAGUCUCUGCAGCCCUCAUGAACAACUCUCACUGGAUGAAGGUUAGUUUUCUAAUGCAUAUUUGUUUCCAGUUGGAAAGAUAUUGUGUAUUUUUUUCCCAAGAGAAGUGCUCUUAAUGGAUCAAGACAAACAAUCAGGUUAAACUUUUGCAGUUUUUUUUUCUCAUAUUGAAAGUCAGUUUGAAGUCUUUCUUGGUAGUCCAUUUUUGUCGUUGUGCAGACAGUGUAUACUUCAUUCUCAUCUUAACAGCGGUAAAGCUGAGUGGAUUCAGGUCGGCUUCAGGUUGCAUUUUUGACCUUGGAGAAUUUCCAUGUAUCAGUUUCUUUCCUAUUACUAUUGUGUAUUAGCUGUAUUAAUGUUAACGGCAAAACAUGCAUUUAAGGCAACAUUAAAUGAUAGUGUGUAUACUUCUAUUAUGACAGUUAAUAGAGGAAGUUGUUGUCCUUGUACUCUAUGUUGCUAUCUCUUAACCAAUUAUGGAUCAUGUAUGCAGCAGUGUCUAUGCAUGGGCAAAGCUUAAUUAAGCAGUUAGAUUAGUAUAUGUUGAAGUAGCAGUUAGAUCAUUAUAGGAUAGGGUCUCUGAGGUUGCAGAUGUUACAGCAGACGUCACAGUGCAGAAGAUGAGGAUGAUCUGCUUGAAAGCGGGAACAUUUAAAAUUAUAAGGACGUCAUGGAAUGAGUUACACUCGAGGCCUGGAUCAGCGGAUAUUUGAGAUGUCUUCAUGGAAUGAAAAUGAAGUGGAGAUUCAUCUGAAAUUUUAUUCAGUUUUAAAUGUGCAAAAUGUUUUAGAUCGGUCUUUCAUGGCAUGCCUGGGUGUCAGCUGCUUGCAUUGGGCCAGGACUAUGUUUCCAGACUGUUUUUGUCCCACAGAGGGUUUUUUUAGUCUGGUUUUACGCAGCCGGCAGGCAGCACACAAAACAGAUCUAUAUGUCAAUCACUGUAAGAGUUGAAUUACUUGAUUUCAUCUUGUCAGAGUUAUUUUUGGAUCAUGUAUGUCUAAUAAUUGGAUUUUUUUUAUGUUUGGAUGCAACUUGGCAUUUAUUGACAAUAAAUUACUUUUGAAUGA